rfam:Ovis aries breed Texel chromosome 2, whole genome shotgun sequence.
UCCCUGGUGACUCAGAUGAUAAAGAAUCUGCCUGAAGUGCAGGAGACCCAGGUUCAGUCCCUGGUUCGGGAA